rnacentral:sRNA from 1 species
UCCCAGGGAGGCGUCCCAGCUAGCACGC